UUUCAGAUCUCGGUAGUGGGGGGGCAGCCUCGUAGCAGCGACGCCGCGUGAGGUGACGGCUUCGGGUUGUAAACUCUUCAGCAGGGACGAAGCGCAAGUGACGGUACCUGCAGAAGAAGCACCGGCUCAACUACGUGCCAGCAGCCGCGGUAAUACGUAGGGUGCGAGCGUUGUCCGGAUUACUGGGCGUAAAGAGCUCGUAGGCGGUUUGUCGCGUCGUCUGUGAAAACCCGCAGCUCAACUGCGGGCUUGCAGGCGAUACGGGCAGACUCGAGUACUGCAGGGGAGACUGGAAUUCCUGGUGUAGCGGUGAAAUGCGCAGAUAUCAGGAGGAACACCGGUGGCGAAGGCGGGUCUCUGGGCAGUAACUGACGCUGAGGAGCGAAAGCGUGGGUAGCGAACAGGAUUAGAUACCCUGGUAGUCCACGCCGUAAACGGUGGGCGCUAGGUGUGGGUUUCCUUCCCCGGAACCCGGGCCUUACCCAACGCAUUAAGCGCCCCGCCGGGGGAGUACGGCCGCAAGGUUAAAACCCAAAGGAAUGACGGGGG
rnacentral:rRNA from 1 species